rnacentral:rRNA from 1 species
CUACGUGCCAGCAGCCGCGGUAAUACGUAGGGCGCGAGCGUUGUCCGGAAUUAUUGGGCGUAAAGAGCUUGUAGGCGGUUUGUCGCGUCUGCUGUGAAAGGCCGGAGCUUAACUCCGUGUAUUGCAGUGGGUACGGGCAGACUAGAGUGCAGUAGGGGAGACUGGAAUUCCUGGUGUAGCGGUGGAAUGCGCAGAUAUAUGGAGGAACACCGGUGGCGAAAGCGGCUCUCUGGCUUGUAACUGACGCUGAGGCUCGAAAGCGUGGGGAGCAAACAGGAUUAGAUACCUUGGUAGUCCACGCCGUAAACGAUGAGUGCUAGGUGUUAGACCCUUUCCGGGGUUUAGUGCCGCAGCUAACGCAUUAAGCACUCCGCCUGGGGAGUACGACCGCAAGGUUGAAACUCAAAGGAAUUGACGGGGGCCCGCACAAGCGGUGGAGCAUGUGGUUUAAUUCGAAGCAACGCGAAGAACCUUACCAGGUCUUGACAUCCCUCUGACCGCUCUAGAGAUAGAGCUUUC